UACGUAGGGGGCAAGCGUUGUCCGGAUUUAUUGGGCGUAAAGAGCGUGUAGGCGGCCAGGUAGGUCCGUUGUGAAAACUCGAGGCUCAACCUCGAGAUGUCGGCGGAAACCAUCUGGCUAGAGUCCGGAAGAGGAGAGUGGAAUUCCUGGUGUAGCGGUGAAAUGCGCAGAUAUCAGGAAGAACACCGGUGGCGAAGGCGGGUCUCUGGGCCGAUACUGACGCUGAGGAGCGAAAGCGUGGGGAGCGAACAGG
rnacentral:rRNA from 1 species